rnacentral:lncRNA from 1 species
GAGAAGAAGAUCAAGAUUCAGUAUUGGGAGUACCUGAGAUGCCCAAAGAAAUAGAAAAAUUAGGGCUCACAUAGUGUAAGCAAAAAGGCAAAGAAAAAUGUACAGGGAGUGAGAUUUUGGAGAGGAGGCCAUGGAUUGCAACAGAGCGAUGGAGACAGAGAAGCUACGAGAGAUUUUGAGAAAUAAAGGAUGGAGGCUAGGGUUUUGUUUCUCUGAGAGGAAAGGCGGAGAAGUCAUAAGGGAG